GAGGUGGGGACACCAAAACAUCCUCCUCAGUCCAUUCACAAAUGGGAUACUGGGCAAAGGGAGCCAGUGCCCUCCCCGCCCUGCCACAGAGCCCUUUGGAGGACAGCUCUUUCUCCCUUUUGGUCUCCAGCUGACCUGGCCCCAUGAUUGGAUGCCCUCUUCUGGGAUCUGGGACCCAUGACCGCAGAUGCUUUCUACUUGUCAGGGUAAAGGGAGAUGACCACCAUCCUAUCUGCUUCACCACACUGACACCCCAUGACCUGGCUCUCAGGCCUCCCUGCGGCUUGGGUGGGGGUGGGGAGGGUACAUUGUGAUGCAGGAAUGCCACACUCAACCUUAAAGUCCCUCAAUGCAGUAAUGGAUGGUGUGUGGUCAAAGUGGAACCCUGAUGCCUUCCCAUCCCCUGUGAAUUUUCACUGGUUCAUUCCCUGUGCCUUCUCUCUUCUAGAGAUUCCCUGCCCAUUGGUGGACUCAGGCUCGCUUGCCUCCCCCUUCUCUCUGACCUUGUUUCUAUCUGGGUCUCAUCUCCUUUCUCAGCCUCAGACUUCUCCCAGGUUCUAGAAUACUUAGUUAUUGCUUCUACAGUCAACUUAAGGACUCUACUUGUAAUAAGUGAAGAAGAGAAAUGGGUUGCAACAUGCAAAGAAAGAAAUGGUUGCAUGCCAGGAAACAAAGAGUUCUGGAGCACCGAGAGGGGAUAAAAAGUGAAUCCCAGCAGUUGGGGGGGGGUGUUCUUUGACUUCCUGUCUCUGGGGCUGUUGGGAGCUGGAAUUUCCUCUCUCUCUGAAGCUACGGAGAUUUGCCUCUGUUGUUCCUGCCUGGAGAAGCCCUUCCUUGCUUUAGAAUCACAUGCUGAAAGUGCCUGUCUACUCAGAAGAGGGUGACCAGCUAGGCUGUACCAAACUGUCUGUGUGGGGAAGGCCAGAGCCAACUCCGGCCUGACCCAAUUAGGGCUCAAGUCUGCCAUAAAGGGUUCACCCUGAAGAUGCUAGAAGCCCUGUUUGAGCCUACAAAGAAAUCUGGGAGGAUUAGGGAGAGCCAGGUUAGCUAGUCAGCCCUGGGAGUGUAGACAGCCAGGUCAGGGCCCAGGGAGCAUGGAAGCCAAAGAAGAAAUCUCGGCGAGGAGAUUGGAGGAGGUGGCAGCUUAGUGAGCACUGCAUUAGAACUAGGGAAUCUAUUCCUUAAUCCUCCCCUUCAAAAGGAAUCCCUGUCCCGUUUUUACAAACCUGUCUGGGGGGUUGAACAGCGUCCUUCCUUGAGAGGUGCCGAGCUUGGUCUCUCAGCACCAUCAACCCCCUCCCUUCUCGGAUCAAUCCUUCAUAGAGGGGGAAUUUCAUCUACUCCCAGCUUUAAGAUGAAAGAAAAUGUCAUUUCUAUAACCCACAAUGUACGUGAUUAUCGUACAUCCCAACCAGAGUCUUCAAAUAGCUCCAUUACAAUAAAAAAAACUCCGAAUAACUUUUCGAAGUAUAAACAACUCCAGAUUAAGUGUCGCUUAUUUUUCCUUUGGAUUCCCAGGACUUCUUUCCAGUUUCAUCUUUAAACCAUUAUGGGAAAAUCUGACUUUCCUGGUUCCUAAGCCAAGUUUUCUGUACAGCUUCUCAUGCCAUACCUUUUCAUUGCUCUGUGAAGCAACAAUGAUUAUAUCUUAGCUCUUUUGACACUUAUGGAUCUCUUUAUGCUUUAUCAAUCUUCUCAACUCUGGGAGGGAGGUGAGAGAGAGAUGCUUUUGUCCUCUUUUUUAAAGAGAAAGAAACUGAGGCUCAGCAAGGUUGAGUGAUUUCUUCAUGAUCACACAGUUGGCAAAUAUCAGAGGCAAGAUUUGCACCCAGAUCUUCCGGAAUCUAAGUCUGGCACUCUAUUUGCUAUGCCCUGCUGCCUCUCCUAUCUUUAAACUUCCAUGCACAUCUUCCAUUCUUCUAUCAUCAUUUGAUGAUGACAUGGUUCUGCUGAUCAGAUAGUUCCUCUAUCAAAACAGAUUCGAACCUGCCAUGCCUUAAGCAAUGUUCUUGUGGUCCUCUGUAGGAUUAAGAUCCAUUAACCUUGAGCAACUUGGCGAUAAGCUUCUCUGUGCUUAAUUCCAUCGUGUUUGCAUCGUGAAUCUGACAUUUGUGGUUGAAGAUGAUCUUUCUGGGUGGCCACCAUCAACAACGCCACUUUGACAAGGUUCCCUCAGACAUUCGAAGAAGUAUCAGCUGACGUUAGCAGUGGUUUGUGAAGACAGCGACUGAGAAGAAACCUGUUCUCUAUAUGCGUGGAGAAUCCAGGGACAAGGAUCGCCCAAGAGGAGACGGAGUGGAAGGUCCAGUCGAGCCCUCAGAGUCACCAGAAUGAUUAUUCUAGACACAGUGUCCUGCGGAUAAGAUUCUCUGGGAAUAGUUUAAACAAACAUAGCUAGAAGUUCUUCAACUUUCCCUAUAGCUCCUUCCAGCGAAAGCAAGAAGCUUGACGAGUCUCUGGGUGUUCAGUAGAGUAAGCACUGUCCUUGGAAAUACGUGACUGACAAUUCCUUCUUGGGAGGCCAGAAUCUCUUCACCGGUCUCAGUAGAAAUGCGCUGUGUGAUCUCUGAGACAACUCUCCUAUAUGGAAAUAUUUGUGGCGUCCGUGAAUCAAUGAAAAUUUUAAGCAUCCCUGAGUAAGUCACAUGACUUUUGUAGUAAAAAAGUCUCCACAGUAUCCAGAAUUUUACCUACAGAAUCAGAUUGUUUUUGUAGUGGAAGAAGUAAUACCAACUGCAGGGAAAUUAAGGAAUGCACGUGGAAAAUACUGGGCUGUGAACAGCUGUGCAUGUUAAUCUGGGUAAUCACAUGUAAUACUAGUGAAGGCACGGCUUUUUUCCCUUGAUGCUAGUAAAUUCAAUGACAUCUAAAACAGGACACGGAAGUAGUGAACAUUCUGGUUAUGUGAAUUUCAAAGUAGCUACGGGUUUUUACCAGAAAAAUGUAAAUGGAAAAUCGUGGCACACAUUAGUUAUGAAAACUAUGAGUAUAUUAAAGUAAGAAAUAGAAUAGAACAUAUCAGAGUAGCAAACAUGUACACCAAAUAAGACGACACAGAAUACCAUGCGGGUACACGCUGUACGAUGAUAGUUACUAAAAAUAAUGAGAAUGUAUACUCAUACAAAGGCUCGAUCGUGAACCUUGAAUGGUCUUCAAAGUGUCUAAGAGAGCCCCAGGAUGGGGGAAAUACAUAGAGGACGCUGAUGUCCCACAAUAACUCUGCACCUGCCAGUCUUGUUGCCAGGAACCUCCUUGCUUUUCAGUGAUUCCCAGGCUCGAGCCUAAAGAGAAGGGAUGCUCCAAAGAAAACAACGAACAGGAAGAACUCUAUGGAUACAUGCUGUUGGAGCAGGAGAGGUCGCUGCAGAAUUAUUUUCGAAAUUUCAGGACAGUAGUAGUACAGAAACACAACGUCUUGGAAGAGGGGCCCAGAACGCUCUCCCUUAAAGAUGUGAAUUUAACCCUCUCGCCCACUAGCUUUAUUAUUUGUACCAUGGAUAGGCUACAUCCCCAAGUCUCCAUUCAUGAGAGAAGUCCAAUGAGCCAAAAAACGUUUCUAGGAAAAGAACAUUUCAUGUUGUUUCUCAACUCCAUACUUCAACAGAUUCGUGAUCUUAUGGAUGUUGGUAUUUUCUUCUAUAAGAUUAAUUAGAACCCAUUGAAACCUUAUUCUAUGCAAA